CAGUAACUAUGAGAAGGAAUUGGAGGAGAUGAAGCACAUGACAAGACAAGAAUUUGUGGCCUCUAUUAGAAGGAAGAGUAGUGGCUUUUCUAGGGGUGCAUCCAUGUAUCGCGGAGUUACAAGGCACCAUCAACAUGGAAGAUGGCAAGCAAGAAUUGGCAGAGUUGCAGGAAACAAAGAUCUUUAUUUGGGAACUUUCA